CAGGUCCCCUUGUCUGCUGGGGAAGGGCUGUGUAUGAGCUCUAGCAGCUUGCUUCGUGCCCAGCUAGGGCUCUGCCAUGUACUUGAUUUUUGCAUAUGUGGUGUUCUCGAUUUCUUCAUAUAUAGUUCUAGCACCUCCUCAGCAAGUUGGUGGUGAGGGAGCCUGGUGGGGUGAGGUCCCGGUGAGAUCCUUGCACACCUCUGGGGUGAUAAUGGUGAUGAGCAGGGCUCAGUUUAGGGGUGGGGGAAUAUCAGCAUCUGGGCUGUGAUUGCUGCUGUGUGAGAUGCCCGAAAUGCUGCGAUGCAGCCCCCAGGAGCUGAAAUAAGUCACUCUGGAAGCGGUUGGGAUCUGUUGGCGCUAACGUGGAGCUGAAGCUCACCAGCCAAACUGCUGUGGCUCUGGGUCCUCUUUCUGGGCUGCGUAAGGCUGAGUGUGUCUGCAGAAAACUCUCCAUCGCAAAGUUAGGGAGGAGCUGCUCUCCUAGAGUUGGCUGGCAGGUCUCUCUGUCCGUCUGAGUGGUGGGCAAGGCUGCGUGUUAGCCGUGGAAGUGCCAUCCUCUCUUCUGCGUGAACAUUGUGCAGGCUUGCAUCUCCGAGGGGAUGGGGGUGCAUGCAGCCGCUGCUCCUGUAUUGCGGGAGGGAUGGUGGCAUCCUGCUCCACCUGGGCCAUCAGUGGACAUCGGAGUCAAACGUCGUUCCUGGGAGAUUCCCCUUGCAGCUUGCUUACUGCUUCUGAGGCAGGAGGACCUGGAGGCAGCGGAGCAGCGGGUCCUGGGGAGGAGAAGGUGGCUCAUGUAACUGGUACCUGUCUGUGGGAGAGAGGAGGACGUCUCCUGCUCGCAGGGUCUGGGCAGCUCCCUCGGCAAAGGCAAACUGGAUGGUGACCAUCGUCCUACCUCUUAGGUUUGUCCGAAUGGUAUAUGUCAAAUCUUCCCAGCCGAGGACUCGGGAGGGGGAGGGUGGGCUUCCCAGCCCAGCAGACUGGAUGGGAAAUAAUGAUCCCCUUUUUAUAGCUUCUUCAAUUGUUCCUGAAAAUCCUUUUUAAAAGGAAGAAAGUUCCUUCCUUCCUUUCAGCUCCCGGUAUCUUUAAGAAUUCGCUCUAUUGUGAACCCAGGACAGAGACCCUUCUAUGAGGGCUGCAUAGGCGCUCUUCAGAGGCCCCCUCCCCGCGCCCCCUCCCACCCCAUCCCAACAAGCCCCCAUUCUCCUCUGAAGAGGGUCCCUCUGUCUAACGCCAAGUAACUCUUAAGGGUAGCAUUUAUCCUCGGGCACUCAGCUCACAAAGAGUGCUGGAGUGUCAAAUAAACUCACUCCAGCCUGCAAAGAGAAGAGGAAGAAAAUACAAAACCCCCUUUAUUUCCACCCCUGCAGGGAAACAAAUACGGACUUUGUGCUGGAGAGCAGCAGCGCCCUAACGAAGCAGGGUAGUGCGUGUACUAAUGUAUCUCUAAUAAAAUUGUGUGUGCACGCACACGUGAUAGUGUGUGCGUGGACCUGGCAGACGAGCAAUAAAUCAAAAUCCCUCCAAACAAGUGUGGGCCAUCCUGCGUGCCUGCUGCUUUCUAGGCAGAGACGGUCACCGCUAACUCUGACAGCAUGUCCGUGAUUGCUGUGGGUUUGCUUUUGGAGAGGGGCGUGGGGAGGAAGAUGCUGGUUCUGUCCUGGGCCCUCUGCUGAGGUUGUCACCAAAGGUUUUGGUAGCUUGUCGUUACUGAAGGGGGCAGAUGCCGCCAGGCGCAAUAGCUGUUGGACUGUCCUUGUCCCUAGAAGUGAGGAGACAAGAGUCUGACUGUGCAGGCUUGGGACUUCUCCCCCUCCACCAAGCAAAUGGUCCUGAGCCAAGAGGAUUUGUCUCUGGAUGGUUUCUCUCUACUGGGAUCUCUAGAGUGAUAAGCCCUCGUGGACUGGUGUGGGUUUUGGACGCUCCCUUCUGUCUGUAGCUGGGAAUGUUGUGGCCAGAAGGCUGCAGACACCUGCUUCUCUCAAAAUCUGGUGGAUUACUUCUUUUGGCAUUAUUCUGCUAGUGCUGUGGUGUUUUUGCUAACCUGGUGGAACUGGCUUCGUGACAUGAAGUCUCCCAACUGACAGAUGUGGAAAAGCAGCAGUUACAGCCCAAUGCUACAGUCUUCUCUCUUUCUGGGCUACUUACUCUGAGCAUCGUGGCUCUGGAGGAGGAAGGAGUCCAAGCGCACGUGUAGGACAAAUCCCGCUGGUCUUAGUGAACUUUCCUCUGGGAGAACAAGGCUGAGAAAUGUGGUGAAUAAAG